rnacentral:rRNA from 1 species
CUACGGGCGGCUGCAGUGAGGAAUAUUGCACAAUGGGGGGAACCCUGAUGCAGCAACGCCGCGUGGAGGAUGACGCAUUUCGGUGUGUAAACUCCUUUUAUAUGUCAAGAAAAUGACGGUAGCAUAUGAAUAAGCACCGGCUAACUCCGUGCCAUCAGCCGCGGUAAUACGGAGGGUGCAAGCGUUACUCGGAAUCACUGGGCGUAAAGGACGCGUAGGCGGGUUGGAAAGUCAGGUGUGAAAUCCUACAGCUUAACUGUAGAACUGCACUUGAAACUUCUAAUCUAGAGUAUGGGAGGGGGGAUGGAAUUAGUGGUGUAGGGGUAAAAUCCGUAGAUAUCACUAGGAAUACCUAAAGCGAAGGCGAUCUCCUGGAACAUUACUGACGCUAAGGCGUGAAAGCGUGGGGAGCAAACAGGAUUAGAUACCCUCGUAGUC